rnacentral:rRNA from 1 species
CCUACGGGAGGCAGCAGUAGGGAAUAUUCCACAAUGGGCGCAAGCCUGAUGGAGCAACACCGCGUGAGUGAAGAAGGGUUUCGGCUCGUAAAGCUCUGUUGUUGGAGAAGAACGUGCGUGAGAGUAACUGUUCACGCAGUGACUGUAUCCAAACAGAACGUCACGGCUAACUACGUGACAGCAGCCGCGGUAAUGCGUAGGUGGCAGGCGUUAUCCGGAUUUAUUGGGCGUAAAGGGAGCGCAGGCGGUUGCUUAGGUCUGAUGUGAAAGCCUUCGGCUUAACCGAAGAAGUGCAUCGGAUACCGGGCGUCUUGAGUGCAGAAGAGGACAGUGGAACUCCAGGUGUAGCGGUGGAAUGCGUAGAUAUAUGGAAGAACACCAGUGGCGAAGGCGGCUGUCUGGUCUGCAACUGACGCUGAGGCUCGAAAGCAUGGGUAGCGAACAGGAUUAGAUACCCGAGUAGUC